AGGAAUCAUGCUAUUCCUUCCUCGUGGCAGCGAACUCAGUGGAGUCUGACCAGCAGAGGAAGAAGCCUAGAUUUCAACUGUGAAGCCACCCACCUUCAAUCACUGCUCAUUUCUGCAUGGUCUCUCCCCUCUCCCUCGAUUCUCCCUCUACACAGCCUUUCCCACUCUAACGGCAGCCUCCGGAGACCUGAACCUCUUGCUCUUCGCAAAGGCGAGCACUCAGAUUUUGUGUGAACCCAAAGAAAACAUUCUCCUUAAGGAGAAAGUUCACCCUCGCCGACCCAGCCGCAGGGAUUUCCGCGGGGGUGGUCCGCGACCUUUGACCCCGACGUCACCCUACCGCGCGCAGGUGGCGGGAAGACACCUGGUCGGCCGGGCCUUAGGGCUCCCGCCAGUCGCCCCGGGGUCCGUUGCAACUGGAGCCAAGGGCCGCAGGGCUACGGCCUCGGGCGCACGAGAUGGCCUAGCCGGCAAUGCCCUUGGGCAUGAGGAUUGACGCCUCUGCCGGCCCCGCCGCGCCCCGUACCGCCUCAUCGGCCUGCCCGCAGCCCCGCAGCAUGAAGUCUCACCUGGCGGGCGGCGGCGGGCGGGCGAUGGCGGCGGCGGGCGGGCGGAGGAGCGGGAGGAGGCGCGAGCACAGCGCCCGCAGGCGCCCGGCGGAGCUGAGCAGCGCAGCCAUGACCGCCAGACGCGGAGGAGCACGUGAACCCAGCGCCGCGCCACUGCGCAGGCGCGCAGGGGGCAAGGGGCGGCAGGCGCCGGCGCUCCGCCCCCGCUCGCCCACGUGACGGACGGAACCAUUGUUCGCGGGUGGGCGCUGCGGGCCCGGCUCUCGGGAGGGGCCUGCUCCUCACUGCCGGCUCUGCCAGUGAUGAGACAUCCCGCGCCAGGUCGCGGUACAGCCCCGGCUCCUGGUUGGGCGGGUCGGUAGCCAGUCUGGAGUUGCUUCCAGCGGAAGGCGGUUGAAGGGUGCUGUGAGCCGGCCGCGGAGGGAAGCGUGGGUUGGGGGUGAUUCGCCGCGCCCCCGGAGGCGGAAGGAAACAGGUGGAAGUAGCGACUUUCCCAGCAGGCUCUUCUUGGAGCAGGUCACUCGUGUGUGCGCCGUCCCGUCCGUGCGGCUCUGAGCUGCGUGAUGGGGGACCCCUGAGCGUCUGGCGUGUGGGUGGCACCCGCCUGCUCUCCUCCACAGGUGGCAGUGACCUGGGCUAUGGGGCUCCCGGCGCUCUGCGGCCGCGCGGGGACGGCGACGGCCCUGAGGAAGAAGGGCGGUUCCGGGGGGCUUUUGCUCUCCCGGGGACUGAGGCGGGACGGAACUGCCAUUCGCCGUGGGUUAUUUCAGACGCCAAGAACACGGGAGGUAACGUGCCAGCGCGAAGAACUUCCUCAGCUUUCCCUUCUCUAGAGUAAGGAAAGCUCCCGUUUUAAUGGAUUAUCCGCGUUGCUCCCAGAAAGCAGUUCUUCCACGGUAGGGCUGGGAAAGCCACUUGUGACGCUGCCAUGAGCCUUUACAAGGCGACUGGGACCUGUGAAAUCUUGUUACCCCCUGCUUCCUUCUAGGAACCAACCGAGAGUGAGUGGCACCUGAACGAACUCUAAUAAACCUUUUAACUGUACAUCUCUGCUUGAGCUUGGUUAGAUUUACUAAUAGGCCAUCUGCACUGACACUCGAUUUUAGCAUGCAAGUUAAGCUGCUUCCGAUGUCAUAGUGUUAACUUGGAUUGCUAUUUAACAAGUUAAUUGCAUGUUUUCAUACAAAAAAAUAAUGUAGUUAUGUUUGCCAUAGACUGUAAAUAAUUAUUGCAGGCCAGAAUGAUUUCUUUUGUCAAAUCUUCUACAGUCAGCUGUUCCUCAUUACUUGGAAACACUUGCAAAGACUUUUGGAAGGCCCAGGUGCUUUUCUUAUUUAUAAGGAUAACUCAACCAUAAACUGCAUCUAGCAGGGCAAUAUUUGUAAUGUUACUGCUCAUCAGGGCUUCUGUCAUAUGGCAUUGUGAUCAGUAUUUCAUGGAAUACAGCAUUAAUGAAUUCUGCAUUCAGUCUUAAUGAAGAAGGGCAGCAUUUCAUUUAUUUUAAACUCAAGUACAAACCCAGUAGCAUAUGCUAUUGGGCUGGCUUAGUUAUGCACUUAGUGAACUUUGUUAUGAAGUAGUGCUCCUGGGAGCUCACUGUAGUAACACGAUAAAAGAACAUCUACAAUUCUUACAGUAAGGAGCAAAAAUGAUAAAACUAAUGACUGAAAGAGUAAGAAAGAAUAUUGAUAUGAGGAUCAUCAGCAUAAUAGUAAAUUCUUGUUGUGGAGACUUCACUGCUACUGAAAGAACCGUUUUGAGAAGUGUUUAGGAGAACAAUGUGACAAGUGCUCUCCAGGAACUCCUUCAAAGGACAACAAAAGUGCAAAGGUUUGACAAUCUGAUCAGUGGAUAACAGGAACUGAAAUGAUGAGCUGCUCUAAGAGGAACUGUCUUUUCACUGCCAUGUGAGAGGUUAUAGAUAUUACUAUGUUUUAGAUAUAAAGAGCUAUUUGCUGGAUGUGAAAAGAAUAGGAGGUCUUGAGGAAUUAAUUAAAAAUGAGCUAUAGGUGAAACCAUAGACAGGAAGUUACAUUCACUAAAGUUCUCUGAAUGAUUGAAUCUAGUUCACAUCAAGAUCUGAAAAACAGAAAAAAAACAAUCAGUAGAUUGAAACGAUGUUUAGUCAAGAGUUUUACUUCUUUGGAUGAAACUAAGUUGUGUAUUAGAUGUGUAAUUUGUGCAGAAAAAUUGCUGAUGCUUGUAUGUGAAAAUCUAGCACUGUAUGAUAGUAAUUA